rnacentral:lncRNA from 1 species
CAGUGCUCUAUAGAGUUGUUUUGAGGGAAGGAGUUGAAACAGUUUAUGUUCGGGAUGCGAGGGGUCUGUAAAUAUUUUCGGGCAGUAUACAGGUCCUCGAUUGAAGGCAGUUGGCCAAGGCGAUGGAAAUUUCUUCGGAAAGGAGACAAUUUGCCAGCAUGAUGAACUGAUUUGAGGAAAAACCACAUCUAAAUACGCCGGACGCCACUUCAGCAUAUCCGUUCUCACCGUCUGGGCUCACAAAUGGGUGUCGCUGAGGGGAUAAUUUUCUUCUCCAUCUUGUGAAUAAAGCUAACUGCAGGCCCUCAAGCUGCGAUAUCUGCCUGUCAAACAGAAGGGAGAAAUCUUGGGUGGAGGCAAGAUGUUCAGUUUUUUUUAAGGAUUAGAAUAGAAUAAUAGAGUUGGAGGUCUUCUAGUCUCCUGCUCAAGCAGGAGACCUUGUAUCAUUUCAGAUGAAUGGUUGUCCAG